GAUGAACGCUGGCGGCGUGCCUAAUACAUGCAAGUCGAGCGAACGGACGAGAAGCUUGCUUCUCUGAUGUUAGCGGCGGACGGGUGAGUAACACGUGGAUAACCUACCUAUAAGACUGGGAUAACUUCGGGAAACCGGAGCUAAUACCGGAUAAUAUUUUGAGCCGCAUGGUUCAAAAGUGAAAGACGGUUUUGCUGUCACUUAUAGAUGGAUCCGCGCUGCAUUAGCUAGUUGGUAAGGUAGCGGCUUACCAAGGCAACGAUGCAUAGCCGACCUGAGAGGGUGAUCGGCCACACUGGAACUGAGACACGGUCCAGACUCCUACGGGAGGCAGCAGUAGGGAAUCUUCCGCAAUGGGCGAAAGCCUGACGGAGCAACGCCGCGUGAGUGAUGAAGGUCUUCGGAUCGUAAAACUCUGUUAUUAGGGAAGAACAUAUGUGUAAGUAACUAUGCACAUCUUGACGGUACCUAAUCAGAAAGCCACGGCUAACUACGUG
rnacentral:rRNA from 1 species